UACGAAGGGGGCUAGCGUUGUUCGGAAUUACUGGGCGUAAAGCGCACGUAGGCGGAUCGAUCAGUCAGGGGUGAAACUCCCAGGCUCAACCCUGGAACUGCCUUUGAUACUGUCGAUCUGGAGUAUGGAAGAGGUGAGUGGAAUUCCGAGUGUAGAGGUGAAAUUCGUAGAUAUUCGGAGGAACACCAGUGGCGAAGGCGGCUCACUGGUCCAUUACUGACGCUGAGGUGCGAAAGCGUGGGGAGCAACAGGG
rnacentral:rRNA from 1 species